rnacentral:rRNA from 1 species
GCUAAGAAUCUUCCGCAAUGGGGGAAACCCUGACGGAGCGACGCCGCGUGGACGAAGAAGGCCGCAAGGUUGUAAAGUCCUUUUGCAGACGAAGAAUAAGGCUCGGAGUGGAACGCCGAACUGAUGACGUUAGUCUGCGAAUAAGCCCCGGCCAAUUACGUGCCAGCAGCCGCGGUAACACGUAUGGGGCAAGCGUUGUUCGGAAUCACUGGGCGUAAAGGGCGUGUAGGCGGUUCGAAAAGCCCGGCGUGAAAGGUGUCGGCCCAACCGACAGACUGCGCUGGGAACUGCCGGACUGGAGUCAUGGAGGGGGAGCUGGAAUUCCAGGUGUAGGGGUGAAAUCUGUAGAGAUCUGGAAGAACACCGGUGGCGAAGGCGAGCUUCUGGCCAAUGACUGACGCUGAGGCGCGAAAGCGUGGGGAGCAAACAGGAUUAGAAACCCUGGUAGUCC